rnacentral:rRNA from 1 species
AGAGUUUGAUCCUGGCUCAGGACGAACGCUGGCGGCGCGCUUAACACAUGCAAGUCGAACGAGAAAGCCCGCAAGGGUGAGUAAAGUGGCGCACGGGUGAGUAACACGUGGGUAAUCUGCCUUCUGGUGGGGAAUAACUCUGGGAAACCGGAGCUAAUACCGCAUAAGACCGAAAGGUGAAAGGGCGAAAGUUCGCCGGAAGAGGAGCCCGCGGCUGAUUAGCUAGUUGGUGAGGUAAGAGCUCACCAAGGCUGAGAUCGGUAGCCGGCCUGAGAGGGCACACGGCCACACUGGCACUGAAACACGGGCCAGACUCCUACGGGAGGCAGCAGUGGGGAAUCUUGCACAAUGGGGGCAACCCUGAUGCAGCGACGCCGCGUGAGUGAUGAAGCCCUUCGGGGUGUAAAGCUCUUUCGACCCGGAAGAUUAUGACGGUACGGGGAGAAGAAGCUGCGGCUAACUACGUGCCAGCAGCCGCGGUAAUACGUAGGCAGCGAGCGUUGUUCGGAGUUACUGGGCGUAAAGCGUGCGUAGGCGGUGUCUUAAGUUUGUUGUGAAAUCUCCCGGCUUAACCGGGAGGGUGCGGCGAAUACUGAGAUGCUGGAGUGCGGGAGAGGUAAGCGGAAUUCCUGGUGUAGCGGUGAAAUGCGUAGAUAUCAGGAGGAACACCUGCGGUGUAGACGGCUUACUGGACCGUAACUGACGCUGAGGCACGAAAGCGUGGGUAGCAAACAGGAUUAGAUACCCCCGUAGUCC